rnacentral:ncRNA from 1 species
UAACAUAAAGUGAUUUAUGCCCAAUGCUUUGUAUGUCAAACCGAAGAAAUUCAACCAAGAGCAGGUAAACAGUGGGAGUGAUUAUGAAUCUCUUAAGGUAGUCAGAUGCCCCUGUGUCAUCUAAUUAGUAACGCACAUGAAUGGAUUAACGAUAUUCCCACUAUCCCAAGAUACUAUCUAGAGAAACCACAUCCAAGGGAACGAACUUUGCAGAAUUAGAGGGGAAAUAAGACCCUGUUGAGGUUGACUCUAAUCUGACUUUGUGAAAUGACUUGAGAGGUGUAGAAUAAAUGGGAGUUGUUUUCAACGCAAGUGAAAUACCAUUACUUUUAACGUAAUUUUACUUAUUCAGUGGGGUAUAGAUGAGGCCGCAUUGCACAUAUGUUAAAAUUUAAUGCACAUUUCCUUAAAGUGUUUUCCUUUAUGCCAAUGGUCAAAAGUUCAUUCUUUACACACUUGAUGGCAAUGAGUUUAGGAAAACAAAGAGGAUAAUUUAUUUUAAGGAUGAAGAAAGUUCCUACAAUCCCUAUUUUUUUAGCCAACAUCCCCCUAUAAGUAUACAUGUUAUGGUUCCUCCUUGUAAAUUGGUGACUUGAAUCCUCAUAGACUUAGAGAAUGGGUGGCUUAUGAUGCCAAAUUCUUUGUCCCUUGAUAGCAUUUCAUUUUCUAUUAUGUGAGUGGUGUGCAUGCUCAAUUUAUAGACACACUAGAGCCAUGGAUUCCCAAUGAUAAAGUAUACAAACUCACCUCUAUUUCUCAUCACUCAACAAUCCUUUAGUUAAUGAUCAGAAAACAAUAAAACUAGGAAAUCUCCAUAAGUUCUUAGUAGUACAUGUUGUUUUCCAACAAGCCAAAGAAGACAACAUAGGGAAUAUCCUUCCUUCAGAUAUUCAGGAUAACAUAUUGACGCAACCCCCCCACUCUCACAGUGGCCGGUCGCUCCACCAGGACCUUCUUGCUGCUUGGCCCGAAGAACUUGAAAGGUUCUUCACUCCUCUCGGGAGAAUCUACCCACAGUAACC